UGGGGAAUAUUGGACAAUGGGCGAAAGCCUGAUCCAGCCAUGCCGCGUGAGUGAAGAAGGCCUUCGGGUUGUAAAGCUCUUUUAGUCGGAAAGAAAGAGUCGCAAUGAAUAAUUGUGAUUUAUGACGGUACCGACAGAAAAAGCACCGGCUAACUACGUGCCAGCAGCCGCGGUAAUACGUAGGGUGCGAGCGUUAAUCGGAAUUACUGGGCGUAAAGGGUGCGCAGGCGGUUUUGCAAGUCAGAUGUGAAAGCCCCGGGCUUAACCUGGGAAUUGCGUUUGAAACUACAAGGCUAGAGUGCAGCAGAGGGGAGGGGAAUUCCAUGUGUAGCAGUGAAAUGCGUAGAGAUGGGGAAGACACCGAUGGCGAAGGCAGCUCCCUGGGUUGACACUGACGCUCAUGCACGAAAGCGUGGGGAGCAAACA
rnacentral:rRNA from 1 species